rnacentral:antisense_RNA from 1 species
GGCGCUUGAGGCUUUUUGCCUCAUGACGUUCUGUGGGUUUGUUAUGGUUGUUGUGAGGCAGAAAGAAGAAAGCCCCGAAGGUAAAUUUUCAUUUAACCAACGAGGCUCAAUCUUGAUACUAGACACAUCAAAGAUUAGCCGCUUACCUGCCGAAAGGCAAGGAGAAGUA